CACGCCGUAAACGAUGAAUACUAGGUGUAGGAGGUAUCGACUCCUUCUGUGCCGCAGUUAACACAAUAAGUAUUCCGCCUGGGGANCAACGCGAAGAACCUUACCUAGACUUGACAUCUCCUGAAUUAAUCGUAAUGGAUGAAAUCCCUUCGGGGACAGGAAGACAGGUGG
rnacentral:rRNA from 1 species